UCGGUGUCCUCGCUCCACACCGCGGGGUCUCGCCAUCAGCCUCGGAGCAUUCAAGGGAAAGGUUUGCUCGGCCGAUAGUUCGCCGUUUCUCCUCAAACCAACGCAGGACACAACCAGAGGAAGAUCACCUCGGCGCUGCAGUUUCAGAUUGUUACUGCCCGCGGCGAGGUGCUGCGAGGUGCUUCUGGUCUACUCCAGCAGAUGCGGGUUACUCAGAUGCUUAAAUAGCCACAUUAAAUCGUUCGUCUCCUUCCAAGCACUCAAAAGCCUCGGUCACGUUAGCGGGGUGUCACCGCCGGUGUUGGACAUUGUCCUCUUGCCCAAAGGAAAGCUUCACUCA